rnacentral:rRNA from 1 species
AGUGAACGCUGGCGGUAGGCCUAACACAUGCAAGUCGAACGGCAGCACAAUAAGAGCUUGCUCUUACGGGUGGCGAGUGGCGGACGGGUGAGGAAUACAUCGUAAUCUACUUUUUCGUGGGGGAUAACGUAGGGAAACUUACUCUAAUACCGCAUACCACCUACGGGUGAAAGCAGGGGAUCUUCGGACCUUGCGCGAUUGAAUUAGCCGAUGUCGGAGUAGCUAGUUGGCGGGGUAAAGGCCCACCAAGGCGACGAUCCGUAGCUGGUCUGAGAGGAUGAUCAGCCACACUGGAACUGAGACACGGUCCAGACUCCUACGGGAGGCAGCAGUGGGGAAUAUUGGACAAUGGGCGCAAGCCUGAUCCAGCCAUACCGCGUGGGUGAAGAAGGCCUUCGGGUUGUAAAGCCCUUUUGUUGGGAAAGAAAAGCAGCAGGUUAAUACCCCGCUGUUCUGACGGUACCCAAAGAAGAAGCACCGGCUAACUUCGUG